rnacentral:rRNA from 1 species
AUGAUUCGUGGGACGUCCUGCCGGUGGUGGCGAGUCGAAGGCGUGCUCCCGUUGUGGUCUCCACUUCGGUUCUUGCGCGCCCGAGGCGGACCCCGAUGAAAUCCUACCGCGGUGCUCUUCGCCGAGUGUCGAGGUGGGCCGGCACGUUUACUUUGAACAAAUUAGAGUGCUUAAAGCAGGCCUGUUGCGCCUGAAUACUGUGUGCAUGGAAUAAUGGAAUAGGACCUCGGUUCUAUUUUGUUGGUUUUCGGAACCCGAGGUAAUGAUUAAUAGGGACAGGCGGGGGCAUUCGUAUUGCGACGUUAGAGGUGAAAUUCUUGGAUCGUCGCAAGACGGACCGAAGCGAAAGCAUUUGCCAAGUAUGUUUUCAUUAAUCAAGAACGAAAGUUAGAGGUUCGAAGGCGAUCAGAUACCGCCCUAGUUCUAACCAUAAACGAUGCCAGCUAGCGAUCCGCCGAAGUUCCUCCGAUGACUCGGCGGGCAGCUCCCGGGAAACCAAAGCUUUUGGGUUCCGGGGGAAGUAUGGUUGCAAAGCUGAAACUUAAAGGAAUUGACGGAAGG